rnacentral:rRNA from 1 species
GAUGAACGCUGGCGGCGUGCCUAAUACAUGCAAGUCGAGCGAACGGACGAGAAGCUUGCUUCUCUAAUGUUAGCGGCGGACGGGUGAGUAACACGUGGAUAACCUACCUAUAAGACUGGGAUAACUUCGGGAAACCGUAGCUAAUACCGGAUAAUAUUUCGAACCGCAUGGUUCAAAAGUGAAAGACGGUCUUGCUGUCACUUAUAGAUGGAUCCGCGCUGCAUUAGCUAGUUGGUAAGGUAACGGCUUACCAAGGCAACGAUGCAUAGCCGACCUGAGAGGGUGAUCGGCCACACUGGAACUGAGACACGGUCCAGACUCCUACGGGAGGCAGCAGUAGGGAAUCUUCCGCAAUGGGCGAAAGCCUGACGGAGCAACGCCGCGUGAGUGAUGAAGGUCUUCGGAUCGUAAAACUCUGUUAUUAGGGAAGAACAUAUGUGUAAGUAACUGUGCACAUCUUGACGGUACCUAAUCAGAAAGCCACGGCUAACUACGUG